AUGCGGCUUCCAAGCCGGUGCUCACUGCUAUCGCCAGCCAGUUCAGUCAAAACUUCCGAUCACCAGGCGACCUCUAAAUCAAGAAGCGAUUCGACAGAGCCGCCGUCUCCGGUGACCGAGGAAGUAGCGGAGCUGAUCUCGAUCAGAGAGAAGUACUCGUCAAUGUACACCAUGUUCAGUUACAGUGAUCUUGCGAGGAUCACCUCCGACUUCUCCCCAGAGCGGGUAGUGGGGAAUGGUGGUGCGAGCCAUGUUUACAGUGGCCGUCGCGAAGACGGCAAGGAGCUGGCGGUGAAGGUCUUGAAAUCUUCAGCGGAGGUGAUGAAGGAGUUCGUCGCGGAGAUCGGCAUCAUCAGCUCCGUCGACCACAAGAACGCCAUGGCCCUCGUCGGGUUCUGCGCCGAGCGCGGCAAGCUCAUGCUGGUCUACGACUACAUGCGCAGAGGCAGCCUGGAGGAGAUCUUGCACGGUGAGAAAGAAUGCAAGGGCUCAAGAUUAGAUUGGCCGGAGAGGUUCACGGUGGCCGUGGGAGUCGCGCGCGCCCUCGAUUAUCUCCACGACGGCGGCCACACCAAGCGUCCGGUGAUUCACAGGGACGUCAAGUCCUCCAACAUCCUCAUCUCCCAAGAUUGCGAACCGAAGCUGUGCGACUUCGGCCUGGCGCUGUGGGCGGCGGACGCGGCGGCGCAGGUCACCGGCGACGACUUGGCCGGCACGUUCGGGUACUUGGCCCCUGAGUACUUCAUGCACGGCAAGGUGAGCGCCAAGAUGGACGUGUACGCCUUCGGAGUCGUCCUUCUGGAGCUCGUCUCCGGGAGGAAGCCGGUGAGCUCCGGUGGCCCCAAGGGCCAGGAGAGCAUAGUGAUGUGGGCGAAUUCUGUCGUGCAAGGUGGGAAGCUGACAGAGCUCGUGGAUCCGAGCCUUCCGACGGACGGCGACAACGCCGGCGAGACCGAGAGAAUGGCCCUCGCGGCUGCACUCUGCAUCCGUCGAGCACCCCAAGCCCGGCCUAGCAUGGCAAACGUAAGAUUUACUAUCGCCAUCUUCAUUUUACUUGGUCGUCUUGUUCGAUCGAUCGUUAGCUGCUCACAACACAUGGUACCGUCUGAACUUGUUCAGGUCCUGAAGCUGCUCGACGGCGACAGCGACGCCGUCCAGUGGGCGAGGUCGCAGCUGGGCAUGCCCAACGCCUGCGACGACAACCACGGCGACGAAGAUUAUUACAGCGCGGUUGCUUCGCCGGACAACAACGACAUCCAGUCGUACAUCAAGCUCGCUCUGCUCGACGGCGGCGAUGAGGAGGAUGACGACGACUCCGCGUCCGUGGGUUGCGCCGCCGACUUCAUCGCCGGCAACAUGUCGCUGGAGGAGUACAUGAAGGGGAGGUGGAGCCGGUCGUCCAGCUUGACUGAAGACGGAGGCUCCAACCAUGGCGGGAGUGCACGGAUUUUUGUGUAG
rnacentral:rRNA from 1 species